rnacentral:rRNA from 1 species
AGGGGGUUUGAUCAUGGGCUCAGAGCGAACGUUAGCGGGAGGCUUAACACAUGCAAGUCGAGCGAGAAAAUUGCCUUCGGGUGAUGAUUAAAGCGGCGGACGGGUGAGUAACACGUGGGUAAUUUGCCCUUCAGCGGGGGACAACAAUUCGAAAGGAUUGCUAAUACCGCAUACGUCGCCAGUUUCUUCGGAAGCUGGCGGGAAAGACGCCCUCUGUAUAUGGUGCCACUGAAGGAGAAGCCCGCGUCGCAUCAGCUUGUUGGUGGGGUAAUGGCCUACCAAGGCGAAGACGCGUAGCUGGUCUGAGAGGAUGAUCAGCCACACUGGGACUGAGACACGGCCCAGACUCCUACGGGAGGCAGCAGUGGGGAAUAUUGGACAAUGGGCGCAAGCCUGAUCCAGCCAUCCCGCGUGAGUGACGAAGGCCCUCGGGUCGUAAAGCUCUGUGGGGAGAGACGAAUUGCUACAGCAUCAGAUCCUGUAGUUUGACGGUAUCUCUUUAGCAAGCACCGGCUAACUCCGUGCCAGCAGCCGCGGUAAUACGGAGGGUGCAAACGUUGCUCGGAAUUAUUGGGCGUAAAGCGCGCGUAGGCGGACUUUUAAGUCGGAUGUGAAAGCCCUCGGCUCAACCGGGGAAGUGCAUUCGAA